GGGCGGGCGGAAGCGGCGCGACGCGUCCCCGGGCCCGCCGUUGGGAAGAUGUCCGUUAUCCUUUCGUGACCCGCGGAAACCUGCGACUUAGCCGUUGGGUGCCUGCUUCCCCGUAGAUCUUAGAACUGGCUGCAGGGUCCAGUCGUGAGAACAGAGACCGUGGCUGAGUCCGUCGACAGCUUAAUGCCUUGUGCGUGUGGAAUGAUUGUUUGCUUUUUGGUUCAUCAAAAAACAAGGCACCGUGACAGAGAGGACUUGGGUGUAAAAAUGCUCGACUAUUUUACAUGUCUUAAGAACUCCAGCGAAACGUGGAAAUGAAUGUCUGCAACUACAUAAGAAGGUAGAAGACUGGAAGACUCACAAAAGACGUGUGAAGUGAGUCCGAGCUCACUGGUGGCUAAGGAGAUGGGGUGACAGACAACCUCCCGGGAGUGUGUCCUUUGGUGCGACGGCACCGGAUAAAAAGUGUGGACUGUUACACACAGCCCUUUGGAUGUCACCGCCCCUCCCUUCCCGCAACCCCCAUUAGGUUUCCAACUGUGCCGUAAGACCAUGGGGGUUAGGGAGGGACACGUGUGGAGAGGGUAAAGGGUGGGAGUAGGUGGACGAAUAAAGGAUGUGAAUUGAAAGACA